rnacentral:lncRNA from 1 species
GUUCAUGGUAUCACAACUGGGAGUUUCAGAGACUGGAAUGGAGAAUAGGAGGAAGGAAGGAGGUAAAUGUCAGCAUGACUGUCUUCCUUAGGUAGUUACAGAUGCCUUAUCCAGGUGUGAUACUGGGGCCUCUUCAUCCUCAGCAUGAAACAUGCUGUCAGCAGACUGGGGUCAUGAUCAGGUAUUAGAGUUUGGCCAGGUGGACCAAUGUGAUCCCUGGGUUUAGUGUCCGGCUACCUGGAAACUUCCAGCUUUGACAUUAAUAGCUGUAUGAGUGAGUUCAGGUCUCCUUUAACCUUUUAGAAAUGUGUUCUCUUCAUCUGU